rnacentral:rRNA from 1 species
AGAAGAAGCGACCGGCUAACUCCGUGCCAGCAGCCGCGGUAAUACGGGAGGGUGCGAGCGUUAAUCGGAAUUACUCGGGGCGUAAAGCGCAUGCGAGGCGGCCGUGUUAAGUCGAGAUGUGAAAGGCCCGGGGACUUAACCGUACGGUAAUUGCUAUUUAGAAACUGGCAGGCUAGAGUCUUGUAGAGGGGGGUAGGAAUUUCAGGUGUAGCGGUGAAAUGCGUAGAGAUCUGAAGGAAUACCAGUGGCGAAGGCGGCCCCUGGACAAAGACUGACGCUCAGAUGCGAAAGCGUGGGGAGCAAACAGGAUUAGAUACCCUGGUAG